GGCCCAGCAAGGUUCAAAGUACGACCAUCGUCCUGCUUUUUGUGUGAUCGAGUUCGACGAUAGCAGAGAGAGACAAGACAUGGAAGAAGCGGGAGUGUUAGAAUUGUACGAGCUGCACUACUCUGAUUUGCUGCUGUUAUCAUCAACUUCACCGGUACCAGAAGAGGGAGAAGAAAGAGCGGAGAGAAUAAAGAAAACAAUAAUGGAAACCCUAGGCCCGACUGGCCCUGGACUCCUUUCCAUCACUGGUGUCCCUAAAGCUUCCAUUCUUCGACAAAGGCUCCUCCCUCUUGCUAGCAAGCUGGCUCUUCUCGAUCACGAUCGCCGCAAACACAUCCUCAAGGAGCACAACAUGGGUAGUGAUGUUCCUCUGAAGAACCCGGAUAGAAAUGUGUCCUCUUUUGCAAUGCAACUCAAAUAUGCUCAAGCUCUAGAAUCUGCUCCGGGUAAAACGAAUAAUAGAGCCCGUUCUAAUUCGAAUUUAGAAUCAGCUCAUCUGGAUGACAAUGAUGAUGAAGUGACAGACUCUCCGGAAGAUGAAUUUGCAAAUCUGUCUGAUAUCUUUAGGGAGCUGGGAUAUUGCAUGAUGGAGCUGGGGCUUCGUGUUGCGCAAAUAUGUGAUAUGGCCAUUGGUGGUCAAGAGUUGGAACGGAGCUUACUGGAAUCAGGGACAGCAAAAGGACGCCUUAUACAUUACCAUUCUUCUCUAGACAACCUACUGAUAAAAGCAAGUGGGAGAAGGAAGGGAUCCACAAAAAUGCAGGCUUAUUGUGAGAAGAACCAAGUGCUGUUAUCAAGAAGUGAGCAAAAGCAAUCAGAACGCUGUAACUUGGUUGCAAAUGUUAAUGAAGUCGGAUCAAGUGGAAAUCAGGGAAACCUAUGGCAGCAGUGGCAUUAUGAUUAUGGUAUCUUCACUGUUUUGACAGCACCCAUGUUUCUUCUGCCCUCCCAAUUAUCAGAAAAUACCGCAACAGAUCAAUUUCCAGUUUUUUGUGAUAAAGACUGCCCUUGUCCAACUGGACAUUCAUAUUUGCAAAUCUUUGAUGCCAAUACAAAUGAUGUCCUCAUGGUGAAAACUUCUUCAGAAAGUUUCAUCAUUCAGGUCGGUGAAUCGGCUGAUAUCUUAUCGAGAGGAAAGCUUCGCUCAACCCUUCAUUGUGUUUGCAGACCCCCAAACUUAGAAAAUCUAAGCAGAGAAACUUUUGUUGUGUUUUUGCAACCUGCAUGGAGCAAAACUUUCUCAAUGUCAGAUUAUAAUGUGCAGCACAACAUGUUAGGUCGUCAUUCUUCAAAUGAGGGAAAUGGCCUUAGUGAGCAUGACUUUAAUGAAGUUGCUCGAGAAAUUCAUAAAAUUGUCCCCCCACUUUCAUCACGGUUGAAGGAUGGGAUGACAUUCGCAGAAUUCUCACGUGAAACUACCAAGCAAUAUUAUGGAGGCAGCGGUUUACAAUCAAACACUAUAGAUCUGCAUUGGUUUGGUCUUUGUGAGUUUCAUGACACCAUAUAAUGUGAGGAGUUACCAUAGGCCUUUGAGCUUGGUUGGGCGGUUGCUAUUACUAUAUGACAGUGGGGCUAUUUUUUGGAAUAAAAGCUGCAAUUUAAGCUGCUGAUGCUACCAUUACCUAGAACAGUUGAUGGUGGAUUCUUACUUCCUGAAUAUAGAGACAGACGGCAGAAUAUGACCAGCGGAAAUAGAAAAUAAUUCGUCUUGAGUGGUCUGUAGAGGGACAGGUCCAAGGUUACUUCGUAUUUACUAUGAAGGGAUGAUCUUUGAAGUGCCAAUCAUAGCUUCUCUACAAGUCAUUAAGGUUGACAAAGUCAAGAUGCAGGGGCUGUGUUCUCCUUGAUUUCUAGCGGGGUCAAUCGUGCUCCUUCCAUGUAAGGGAAACAGCAACUGAAUUUAGAUCAGUGUCUGUUCGAGUCAGUCAUGUUAGCCAGGCAGGCCCCAAGCCUGGCACGAGCCUACUUUUAUUAUGUAUCACUGGCUAUGCAUUGAGACGGCAUAAUCUUAGUGUCUCGUUGCCUGUUCCAUUCGUUAGCCGUUGCAAACGGCUACACGAGAACCAGCAAUCCUGUUUGCCAUGCAUUUACCAUUGUGAUAACAACUUUGUUAUGGUAAUGUUGGGCAAAGGUUCCUGGGGUAAGAAAUUCUAACAUAGGGCCACAGUGCUGAACACUUCUUUUACAUACAUGGAAGUUUUUAUUAUUUUAUUGUAGUGUAUGAACGUUACUAGCAGCACCCAGCCUGAAAGAAGAAAAAAAAAAGAGGUGGGGUUGGAACGGCCUGGAAAUUUCAUUUCAUUUAAUGUAAAGUGACACAGAAUUAGACGUUUGAAUAAAUUAGCUUUCAAAAUGUAUUAUAAAGCUAGAUCAA